ensembl:lncRNA
GACAUGAUAAUCAUUUUUUGACUUGAAUUUAUUAUUAUUUAUUUAUUUAUUUAGUACAGUGGUUUUCAAACUGGUCCUGCGAGCACCCCCAGCACUGCACGUUUUUUUUUUUUCUGUGUCUCCCUUAUCUAUCACACCUGAUUCAGCUCAUCAGNUAUUUUUUUUCAAAAAAUCGGAAUUGAGCAUUAAGCCCUGCAGUGUGAACGUAGCCUUUGAUUCAUAAAUGUGUUCUAACAAAGGUAAAGGGCAAAUUUUGACCAUAUAUUCUGUUUAUAUUGCAUGCAAUUGGGAUGAAGAAAACAUCUUUUGAUUAUUUUAACAUAUAAUUUUUGAUUCUGUUGAAUUAAAAACCCAAAACUGCAGCGGGUCCACCAGACCCAGGAACACUGGCCGAGUAACAAAAAUAUGAACACCACACAAGGAUUAAUACAAAUAUUGCACAGUAAAUGGUAUUAACUUGGCAUGUGUUUUAAACUAUGUUUUAAAAAAAAAAUAAUAAAAAUAAAGAGUUCCUUUUCUGUAAGAAAUAAGCUUCAAGAGCUUUACUGGACAGAUAUAACAAAAUGAACAAAAUAACAGAGAUGAGUGAUUAAUUAUGGAAUAUGGAGAAAAGACAGUCAUGGAUAAUUCAUGUGAUGGAGUGAGUGGUGGAACUCAUAUCCGGACUCGUUGUGAUUCUGAAGUUUAUUUUCUUUCAUGCACUGGGAUGUUUUAAUAACAGGCUCGAUGUGAGCCUCGUUGCCUGGCAACCGCCUGCUGUCAACAUGCAUACCGUGUUACCGUGGGAACAGGAUGACUGGUGGGAAGAGUGGGACACAAAGCUGCGUUCCAACAAACAGUGUUCAGCUGACAUCUGGGGUCAACAUCAUGAGAUCCAACAGAAGCAGGCGAUAUUUCCCUCUUCAGAGCUUUAAGGCAAGAAAGACAGAAAGCUGGGGACAACAGUGCAUGCAGGACACACACAAUCACCCUCCAUGUGCACUCUUUCCCUCCCUCUCUGAAUCUUAGCGUUUGCCAUUGUGCGACAUGAAUAAAAGAUAAAUGAUUAUGACUGAGGGAGUGUUGUUUCUCUGUUGACCCCUGUCUAACCUUCUUUUGCUAUUCCACUUUGGACACAGUGAGAGAGUGCAGAUUCUAAAGUGUAGCUGACAUGAAUACGAUUUUGCUCUUAUUUUUAUUUUUAUUUUUUUUAUUAUUAUUAUUGUUGUUGGAAUAUAUUUGUCUGUGUAAAUGUUUAACUUUCUUUCUUUUAUUUUUUUGUAAAAUAUUUUGUAUAUACUUUGUAUGCUGUUGUACCAGGUUUAAACUAAUUAAAUACCUGAUAUGUGAACAAGCUGAAAAAAGUUAGAUAUACCUAAUAAUAAUAAUAAUAAUAAUAAUAGUAAAACAUAUUUAAAUCAAUAUUUAUUAUUAAAAUUAACAUAAAACAAUAAAAUGUGUAUAUAAAAUAAAAUACUCUAAUUUGUUAUCUAAAGCAUGGUGUUAUCCAAUUUAUAUCUUAUUUUUGCUUGAGUUAAGCCUGAUCUGCCUUCAUUUGAACUAAGAUUCUCAGAACUGAUCCAUGAAAUCUAUGAGCCGGCAAAUAUGAGUUGAUGAUGUGA